GGGCGGGGCCUCAGGAUCCAACCAUCUUGGGUGUGUGGGGGGGCGCCAAGCGGAGAAUGUUGGCGCUUCCGGAUCCCCCCGGACUUUGGCGGGAACAGACGGUGUGUCUAGAACCGUAGCAGCCCUUUAGGAAUCCUCUGUUGACCCCUACGUAGCUGAAGUGAGAGUAGGCUGGAGUAAAGGCCCCCGGCUUCUUGGCGUCCCCCCCGCCUCUCCCGGAUGAAUGGGAGGGGCUAGCGCGUCACGUGACCAAAGCUGGCAGGGCAAAAGAAGAGGAGGAAGCCGUAGCUCGGCCUCGGGAAAGAGUUUAAGCUCUGCUGGAGACCCGGGUGACCUUGGCGAUGGGCUCUUAGGGGCAGAGGACUGAAGUUAUCUGAUUUUUCUUUCAGAUACCAUAGUCUCGGGUGGUAUCCUGAAGGGGGCGUGGUAAGUAGAGACAGAGAUUUAAACGGAGGGAGAACCUCUGUAUCUCCUCUCUACGCAUCCCUACCUUUUAAAAUAGACGUCCUGACCCAGGAAAAGGAGGCAGGAGCCCCCUCCCAAGCCCAAGCCUACUUGCUGUGGCAAGAGCGCCUUAAGAUUGCUGAGGGUUCUUGGCGCUGGAAAUACUUAGGUAGCGUUUUGUUACCAAACAUGGACUACUGAAGCGUUUUGGAUGCCAAGUCCAGGAAAAAUACGGGCGUUAGGAAAAGUCCAGGGAAAGCAGACUCAGUGAACAAGUUGUUAAGCGUCCUCUCUUACCAUGUCUGGCUGGCGGCGACCCAGAUGCCAUGUGAUGGCCAUUUGAAGACAGGCCUGUCGGACAUCAGGCCUCCCAAGGUCCAGACACUUGCCUUCGGGGACCUGGGCUUUCAGCUGUCCAUACCUGGCCCUGGUUGAUGGCCCCAUGCUGAGCGGUGCACGUGAAGACGCACAUGGUGGUUCCAGGAGCUCAGGAGGGUGUAGACACGCUUGAGGACCAUCUCCAGAGCCCUAGGAGGUGGGGAGGCACGAGCCCACUCGCCGAUCCCUCAGCCCCUCCCCACGUGCCACCACGUGGGUCUCCCAGCCCUUUUCCCACUCUGAGCCCCAGGCUUGUCCUCACCCUGCCUUCAGUGUCCACUCAAAGUCUCUCCUCUUCUCCUCAUGGAACCUCACGUUUGGAGGUAGGUCAUCCUCACAGCCUGCAGCUAUUGUCUGGGGUAACCCUUCCUUCCAGGUGGCCCAGCUAGGAGAUGGGGACAAGGCUUCAGGGAGAGUGUCCAGUUCCUUUUCUCGAUGCUUCUGGAACACAUCCAGUGCGUUGUCUCCUGCCAGGCGGGCUGGGGAGACAUCAAGACGAUUGGCCACAGUUUGUGAGGUCCUGGGCACUCCCCUCCUUGUCCUCCUCUUCCUUCCCAUGGUCACAGGCCUUGUGGUCAGUCACGCUCUGUUGCUUUCACCUCUGGCCUUGCCUCGCUCCAUUGGUUCCCCAGACACAUUAAUCUUUGCCAGCUUUGCCCUCUGGCUUUCUCUAGCCCUCGGCGCUCCUCUCUUGCCUUGAGACAGUGAUCUCCGGGAUUAUACACCCUUUCUGGUCUCUUAACUCCUCUUUUCCCUCCCUGAUCCAACGUCAUCGAUAUUUACGGUUGGAAAAAUCCCCCUAAUUAAGGUGAUAAAAUCUCCAUCACCAAUGUGCCCACA